UACGAAGGGGGCUAGCGUUGUUCGGAAUUACUGGGCGUAAAGGGCGCGUAGGCGGUGUGUCAAGUCAGGCGUGAAAGCCCCGGGCUCAACCUGGGAACCGCGCUUGAGACUGGCACGCUCGAGUCCGGAAGAGGAAAGUGGAAUUCCUGGUGUAGCGGUGAAAUGCGCAGAUAUCAGGAAGAACACCAAUGGCGAAGGCAGCUCGCUGGGACGUGA
rnacentral:rRNA from 1 species